rnacentral:rRNA from 1 species
CCUACGGGGGGCAGCAGUCGAGAAUCAUUCACAAUGGGGGAAACCCUGAUGGUGCGACGCCGCGUGGGGGAAUGAAGGUCUUCGGAUUGUAAACCCCUGUCAUGUGGGAGCAAAUUAAAAAGAUAGUACCACACGAGGAAGAGACGGCUAACUCUGUGCCAGCAGCCGCGGUAAUACAGAGGUCUCAAGCGUUGUUCGGAAUCACUGGGCGUAAAGCGUGCGUAGGCUGUUUCGUAAGUCGUGUGUGAAAGGCGCGGGCUCAACCCGCGGACGGCACAUGAUACUGCGAGACUAGAGUAAUGGAGGGGGAACCGGAAUUCUCGGUGUAGCAGUGAAAUGCGUAGAUAUCGAGAGGAACACUCGUGGCGAAGGCGGGUUCCUGGACAUUAACUGACGCUGAGGCACGAAGGCCAGGGGAGCGAAAGGGAUUAGAUACCCCGGUAGUC